rnacentral:rRNA from 1 species
CCUACGGGCGGCACCAGUGGGGAAUUUUCCGCAAUGGGCGAAAGCCUGAUCCAGCAAUGCCGCGUGUGUGAAGAAGGUCUUCGGAUUGUAAAGCACUUUCGACGGGGACGAUGAUGACGGUACCCGUAGAAGAAGCCCCGGCUAACUUCGUGCCAGCAGCCGCGGUAAUACGAAGGGGGCUAGCGUUGCUCGGAAUGACUGGGCGUAAAGGGCGCGUAGGCGGUUUAUGCAGUCAGAUGUGAAAUCCCCGGGCUUAACCUGGGAACUGCAUUUGAGACGCAUAGACUAGAGGUCGAGAGAGGGUUGUGGAAUUCCCAGUGUAGAGGUGAAAUUCGUAGAUAUUGGGAAGAACACCGGUGGCGAAGGCGGCUUACUGGUCUGCAACUGACGCUGAGGCGCGAAAGCGUGGGGAGCAGACAGGAUUAGAUACCCUUGUAGUC